rnacentral:rRNA from 1 species
GACGUCCUGCCUGUGAUGUGGUGGGGUUGAUGGCCGCUGUGGGGUUGUGGGGGUCAUGCGUGUGGUGGCCAGCGGGGCGCUGCGUUGCGGGUCCGUUGGUGAGAGAUCACCAAGUAAUGCACGUUUGAAAUUUGUAGAAUGGAUGCAAGUAUAUUUAUUGAUGUAUGUGUUCGAGCUACGGGGGGUUGUGCAAAGUUGUGUAGUGCGAUCGGUGGAUGCCUUGGCACCAACAACCAAUGAAGGACUUUGUGACCUGCGAUAAUGCCUGGGGAGUUGGCGAGCGAGCUGUGAUCCGGGGCUGACCGAAUGGAGAAACCUGGUCUGGCCGGAGGACUGUCCGGUGGCCCCGCCCUGAAUGUGGGGGGGUGUGGGUGGUAACGCAGGGGAGCGAAACUUCUUCCUGCCCGUAGGAAGAAAAAUCAAGUGAGCUUCAGUGAGUAAUUGCGAACAACCAUAUUACCCUAAAGCAAAAGAAAUCGAUUUUUUACCCCGUGACAAAACACUGAAUUUAUUAGGGAAUCUGGGAAUACCUAUAUACUCAUACCUAUUAACGGUUCACACUCUUGAUAUUUAUCUUCCAACAACCUUUCUUUCGUUUAUCAACAGAU